rnacentral:rRNA from 1 species
GAUGAACGCUAGCGGGAGGCCUAACACAUGCAAGCCGAGCGGUAUUUAUUCUUCGGAAUAGAGAGAGCGGCGUACGGGUGCGUAACACGUGUGCAACCUGCCUUUAUCUGGGGGAUAGCCUUUCGAAAGGAAGAUUAAUACCCCAUAAUAUAUAGACUGGCAUCAGUUUAUAUUGAAAACUCCGGUGGAUAGAGAUGGGCACGCGCAAGAUUAGAUAGUUGGUGAGGUAACGGCUCACCAAGUCGAUGAUCUUUAGGGGGCCUGAGAGGGUGAUCCCCCACACUGGUACUGAGACACGGACCAGACUCCUACGGGAGGCAGCAGUGAGGAAUAUUGGACAAUGGGUGCGAGCCUGAUCCAGCCAUCCCGCGUGAAGGACUAAGGCCCUAUGGGUUGUAAACUUCUUUUAUACUGGGAUAAACCUACUUACGCGUAAGUAGCUGAAGGUACAGUAUGAAUAAGCACCGGCUAACUCCGUG